GCUUAACCGGAGAAGUGCAUCGGAAACUGGAUAACUUGAGUGCAGAAGAGGGCAGUGGAACUCCAUGUGUAGCGGUGGAAUGCGUAGAUAUAUGGAAGAACACCAGUGGCGAAGGCGGCUACCUGGUCUGCAACUGACGCUGAGACUCGAAAGCAUGGGUAGCGAACAGGAUUAGAUACCCUGGUAGUCCAUGCCGUAAACGAUGAGUGCUAGGUGUUGGAGGGUUUCCGCCCUUCAGUGCCGGAGCUAACGCAUUAAGCACUCCGCCUGGGGAGUACGACCGCAAGGUUGAAACUCAAAGGAAUUGACGGGGGCCCACACAAGCGGUGGAGCAUGUGGUUUAAUUCGAAGCUACGCGAAGAACCUUACCAGGUCUUGACAUCUUGCGCCAACCCUAGAGAUAGGGCGUUUCCUUCGGGAACGCAAUGACAGGUGGUGCAUGGUCGUCGUCAGCUCGUGUCGUGAGAUGUUGGGUUAAGUCCCGCAACGAGCGCAACCCUUGUUACUAGUUGCCAGCAUUAAGUUGGGCACUCUAGUGAGACUGCCGGUGACAAACCGGAGGAAGGUGGGGACGACGUCAGAUCAUCAUGCCCCUUAUGACCUGGCUACACACGUGCUACAAUGGACGGUACAACG
rnacentral:rRNA from 1 species